GGGUGGUAUUUAUUAGACUGAAGCCAAUAUUCCUUGUGUCUAUUGCGGUGAUUCAUAAUAACUGAUCGAAUCUCUUUUUGAGAUAAAUCAUUCAAGUUUCUGCCCUAUCAGCUUUCGAUGGUAGUGUAUUGGACUACCAUGGCAGUAACGGGUAACGAAGAAUUAGGGUUCGAUUUCGGAGAGGGAGCAUGAGAAACGGCUACCACAUCUAAGGAAGGCAGCAGGCGCGUAAAUUACCCAAUCCUGACUCAGGGAGGUAGUGACAAGAAAUAGCAAACCGGGAACCUCAUGGUUUCACGGUAUUGCAAUGAGAACAAUUUAAAACCCUUAGCGAGAAUCAAGUGGAGGACAAGUCUGGUGCCAGCACCCGCGGUAAUUCCAGCUCCACUAGCGUAUAUUAAAGUUGUUGCAGUUAAAAAGCUCGUAGUUGAACCUCUGUCUGGGGCUAGUUUUGGCUUUGGUCAGGCUAGUUCUAGGCAUCCGCCUACAAGACUUAGAGGGCAUUCAGUUGCUCACUAGGAGGAGUAGGCAUUUUACUUUGAAAAAAUUAGAGUGUUUAAGGCAGGCAAUCGCCCGCAUAUAUUAGCAUGGAAUAAUAGAAUAGGACACUUUUCCAUUUCGUUGGUUAUUGGAAUCGUGUAAUGAUUAAUAGGGACAGUUGUGGGCAUUUGUAUUUAAUUGUCAGAGGUGAAAUUCUUGGAUUUAUUAAAGACAAACUAACGCGAAAGCAUUUGCCAAGGAUGUUUUCAUUAAUCAAGAACGAAAGUUAGGGGAUCAAAGACGAUCAGAUACCGUCCUAGUCUUAACUAUAAACUAUUCCGACUCAAUGUUUGACUGGCUUAUAUAACCAGUUGAGCGUUGUAUGAGAAAUCAAAGUCUUUAGGUUCUGGGGGGAGUAUGGUUGCAAAGCUGAAACUUAAAGGAAUUGACGGAAGAGCACAACCAGGAGUGGAUUCUGCGGCUUAAUUUGACUCAACACGGGGAAACUUACCAGGUUAAAACAAUAGUGGGAUUGACAGUUUGAGAGCGCUUUCUUGAUUGGUUGGGUGGUGGUGCAUGGCCGUUCUUAGUUGGUGGAGUGAUUUGUCUGCUUAAUUGCGUUAACGAACGAGACCUUAACCUGCUUACUAGACUGGCGAUCAUCAAUCGUUAGCUCUUCUUAGAGGGACUUUGGUUGUUUUAACUCCAAGGAAGUUUGAGGCAAUAACAGGUCUGUGAUGCCCUUAGAUAUCCUGGGCCGCACGCGUCAUACAAAGACUA
rnacentral:rRNA from 1 species